GCUCGUCAUAUCCAUUGCCCUACUCUUCGCAUCUCAUCACUUCGUCCAAUACCAUAGGGAUGAGAUCGUUCAGUACGGCAAUGGACUGAGCUAGAGU
ensembl:miRNA mir-58.1 miscRNA